UACGUAGGGGGCGAGCGUUGUCCGAAGUUACUGGGCGUAAAGCGCGCGUAGGCGGCUAUUUAAGUCUGGGGUGAAAGGUUCAGCGCUCAACGCGAACAGUGCCUUGGAUACUGGAUGGCUUGAGUUCGGGAGAGGUGAGUGGAACUGCGAGUGUAGAGGUGAAAUUCGUAGAUAUUCGCAAGAACACCAGUGGCGAAGGCGGCUCACUGGCCCGAUACUGACGCUGAGGCACGAAAGCGUGGGGAGCAAACAGG
rnacentral:rRNA from 1 species